GACUGAUAUGAAAUGAAAAAGGCUGGGAACAUAUUAAAUACGCACGUCGUCAACGGGGAAUGGUAAAAUUAUAUACUAGUAUUGAGAUGCUGAUGAUGUGGGUCAGGGUGUAAUACAGCAAACCAGAGGUCAUAAUUUAUACAGCUGUGUAUGGAAAAGUGGCCUUUGAAAUUGAAGGGCGUUGGAAGCAAUUAAAGGAGAUCUACCUAACUCAGGUUCUACUGUAUUACAUUCUUGAAGUAUCCAGAUUAGAAGCAGAAAUGGCCGAGAACUAUUCUGGGAAGCCAGUUAGCAGCCAGCCUGGAAUGCCCGGUGAGUGGAUGGCAAUGCCCAAUGUCCAGUACUCGCCAACCUGCCCUCCUGGACUGGAAUACUUGACCCAGAUUGACCAGGUCCUCAUCCACCAACAGAUAGAGGUUUUCGAAGUACUCACUGGCAUUGAGAUGUGUAAUAAAUACCAGAUCAAAAAUUCCCUAGGACAACAGAUCUACUUUGCUUAUGAAGGUAAGUCCAAUGUAUUCAGAAAUAUUGGGUGUAUUUUUUUUUCAGGGGGUUGGUUCAAGAUCAAAUUGAUUAUGAAGAAUGAGGUGGGUUUGUCAAAGUUUUUCACUCUCUUUUUUUAUUGUGAAUUCACAUGAAAUAUUAACAUGUGAAUGUAAUGGCAAUCAAAUGAAAUCAGUGCAACAUAAGUAACUUGACUAAAAAUGUAAAUUAAAAUAAGUUAUUUAUUAUAAUGUUAAUUUUAGUGUAGUAGGUUUCAAGGUAAACAAUGUAUCUUUCUUGAGCAAGUGUUGGCCCUGAAAAGGACCACCCAAACUCGACGUUUUGACAAGUGUGUUCUUGUCGUCUUCAGGGGAAUGUUAAUUUUGUUGAUCUUUGUCAGUUGUAUGUAUUCUCUAAAAUUCAGUUACCAAAUGCACAUUUAUUCUCCAACUGUUUGAACACAGUAAUAAAACUCUCUCAAAUAGUAUUAAACUGAAACUUAUUCUGGAUAUAAAAACUUGGGGGGGGGGGUCAACUUUCAUACUGGGCCAUUAGAUAAUGGCUGAAAUACUCUUUAAGACACAAAUAUUAGUUUGCAUUUAAUUACAUAAUUAUGGAUUUACCCUUUGAAAUAAUAAGUGUCCCCAGGGGCAAAGUGCCAUCAUAAUGAGGUAAUUAUCUCAAUCAUAAAAUGUUUCCAGUAUUGACAGUGGUCAUAAAAUGAACCUAAAUUAAAUUUAUUGUACAUAUCUCAGAUGAACCAGUUGAUCUUUAGGGCAAGUCCAAGAAUUCGCACGUGUUACGUAUGGGACAUUUCAGAGGCUUUAAUGACCUGAAAAAUAGUGUUAAAUGACUUUGAUUAAAUUGAAUACCCUCAUGAUGGUAGACAUCUAGGAGAAGAAUAAUCAUGCAAAAAAUUGUAUCAUAUGGCCUUGACCUUGACCUUUUAGAGAGAAAAGAUGUGCCGUUACGUAUGGGACGCAGAAAUAAGACAAUUUUUAUAACCUUUUUUUCAAGUUGAGAAUUCUCUGAAAGUAUUUAAUUUGACAGCUUGUAACUUAGUGUAAUAGAAGUCACUACACUCUAGUAUAUCUAUGGCAAGUUUCAUGUCAUAAGCCCAAACCCUCUAAUUACAGACUCUAAUUAAACAAAUUAAUGACAUGUUACGUAUGGGACAGUUACGUAUGGGACAUUUUGUCCCCAUAGAGAACGUACAUAAUUUUCCCCAUAAUUUCAAAAAUCAAAUAAUCAAAAAUAUGGAAAUAACAAGAGUUUUUUUCUUUUAAAAUGUUCUAUUGAGACAUAUUUGAUAUGACUGAAAAGAAAAUUAGCCAUUUCAACAAUUUUUUUUCUUGUUUUUCAUGGUUUCAUGAAUUUCUUAUGUAUUUCUAUUGUUUUUUAUUUUUUUCAUAUUGUUCCAUUUUCACAGUUUUUUCACUUUGAUUGUUUUCAUCAAUCAGUAUUCAUAACAAAUUAGUCUUUAAACACUAAAGAAAAGGUAAAUAAUCACUUUUUAGAGCACUCUUGAAAUUGGUUUUUCUCCAUUCACUUUGUACACAAAUCUCCCCAUUGACAUUGUGUGUAAAUGUCCCAUACGUAACAUGUUGUCCCAUACGUAACAAUUUUUUAAUUAAGUUUUAAUUAAAAAGUAAACUUUAUUUUUGAAUCUUUUGUGGUAUAACAAUUUCCUACUUAAUGAAUUAGAACUUCCCAGAGAUACAACAAUGCAAGUAUUGUAUUAUGAGAAAUAACUUAAAAAAACAUCCUCAAAAUGUUACGUAUGGGACAUUCCAUCCUUGGACAAGACCUAAUUUGCAUAUUUAAUUAGAUGACACCACUUUUUUCCCCAAAAAGUAACAAGAUGUUAUGGGGUCCAUGUCCCACCUAUGACUAAAUCUUACAAGUUUUGUUUUGAUUUUCUAUGAGUUUUUGUAAUUGUCCCAUACGUAACGCCCAUUUUACCAAUUAUGCAAAUUAGGUGCCCCAAAUUAGCAUAAAUAUGUAUAUUAUCAAAUUUUUCUUUAUGAAAUUUUAAAAUUCAACAUUUGGGCUUUCUUACCCAACCAAAGAUAACUUCUUAGAUUAAAGAUGAAAUUUUGCCUUCUAGGGUGACCUUUUCUUGGACUUGUUAUUUUGGGUUUCUCAUGAGAGUAUAAAUAUUAAAGUUUUCGGUGACAAAAUUAAGAAGAACUAGAUUUUAAUUCGUCAUGCGGACGAAUUAGGUGGUCUGUCAUGAUUUUUCAUUCAUUGUCGGCUAAUGUUGUAUAAAAUGAAUCCCGGGAAUGAAUCAUUCAGAUAUGAUUGAUAAUCUUGAUCAUAGACAUCAAAGGAAUAAAUUUUGACCAUUGCUAAAUGUGAUUAUAAAUGUAGUGAUGACAAUCGUGAUGAUUAUAAUGAUGGUGGUGAUAAUGCAAUAUGUUAAAUACGAAAUAAAGUUAGGAGCACGUAAAAUGCCGGCUUAAAAACUCUCCAAAAAUCUCAGACGAUUUUACCGAAAUUGGCUUUCCAAAAUUGCGCAAUGAAAGGCGCCUUAAUUUUCACAGCAGCUAAUUUUUAAUCGACAGUUUGAUGUUAUUUAUGCAAAUUCUUGUUAAAAAUUCUUUGUACUUUGAGCAUUUUUUUUUUUAUUUCACCCACUGACAUUUCACAAUGUCAGUGGGUAUUAAUUUCACAGAAUACUUGAAAAUUCAUAGGUGAUACUUUUUAAAAGCUAAAAUAUCUUAAAUAUUUUUGUUCAAAUUUUCUGCUACAUUUCAAUAGAUUUUAAUGAGAAGUUUCAUAAUGCUAUAAUUUCACAGCAUUCACCUCAAAACUCAUGAGUGAUGUAUUUGAUAAAAGAACCAGAUUUUUUUGUAAAUGUUUGCCAAAUUUCUGAAAAUUUUUAAACAUUUCAAAUAAUAUUUUCCGUCAAAAAUUUUCAAUAUCCAUUUAUUAAUUGUGUAUGACUUUGACAUUUACUUGAAAAUUCUUUCUUGAUGAUUUUUACUGAAAAAAAGUCAGGUAAAAGAUUCAAAUACUGGCAAUUUUCCCGCAAAAUUUCGGGAACAUGUGUAAUUAACUAAAUUGCACAAUUUUUUCAUUUCACAGAAGGUACCUGAAAAUUUGUUAUAUGUUAUAUUAAGUAAAAAUGAACAAACAGAAAAAAAUCCAGGAAUUUCCGCAAAAUGUCCGGAAUGAAAAUUUUCAACCCAAUAGCGUUUAAAUAUUGCAGCGUUUACUAAAAAAUACAUAAAUGAUGUUUUACAAUGUUAAAAUUGCCCCUUAAAAAGUUCCGGCAAAAUUACAAAAAUUGUCCUACAUAAAAAAAUGCAAGGCAAGUGGGCUUGAAAUUUUCAGGAAGACUGUACAAUUGGUUAAUAAAACAUUUCUCUAAAGAAUUUCUCAAAAAUUACGUCCAGAAAAAAUUUGCAAAAAUUUAAACACAUCAUAACACAUUGAUGCUGUGGUCAAAAGUCAAAAUUAUUCACACGUUAUUUGUAGAGAAUUGUCUUCACUAUACGAUAUCAAAAUUUGGAAGAAAACUGACCAGUAAAAACGAAGAUACGGUCAAGUCAUUGACGUUUGUUGCGGAAAUAUGUAAUUUUCACUAAUAACUUAAAAUUGACGUAAUUACAAAAUCUCCAAAUGAAAUAUUGAAUAUAUAAAAGAGUGAGAAAAAAUUUGGGGUCAACGGACUCCCUGAAGAGCUACAGUGAAUUUUAUAUAGGCAUAUUUUAGCCCAUUUACGCGCGCGUAAUGCAAAUUUGAAUGGACGCGCAUUCCCGUAUUAUUGGUCGUAAGAGGCUGAAUGAGGUAUCAAAUUAAUCAGAAGAUAAUGAACAAUGGAAAGACAUGAAAGAAAUGAUGACUCGAAGAUGCAUAACGAUGGUAGGUGCAAGAACGCGCACGCAUACCUGUGCGCGCGCAAAUUCUUGACAUGCUCAAAAUGACCAGAAACGUACCCAAACUUGACCACGGUCGAUUUGGGGAAAUUUAAAAUUUUGACGCGCGCGUACGUGCGCGUCGUGACCUUUGCAUGACCUCUGAUGAUAUGUCCUGAUGACCUGUCACCUGAACUUGAUAUGAUGCAAAUAUGGAUGAUUUUUGAUGAUUAGUUGCGAUGAUAUGAUCAAUCAUUUAAUUUUACAAAAUGGCGCCUAGAUGACGUCAUCAUGAUUUGAUAACCUUGAAAAGUUUCCAUUCCCAUGUCCAUAAUGAUGCCCAUACAUGACAUGAAAAUCAAGGAAAUUGACAUGCCCGAUUUUGAGAUAGAGGUGGACAAAGAUUUGGCAAUAAAAAUAAAUAAAGUAAAUUCUGACGAAUAUAAUAGGUGAUCUGUCAUCUUCAUGACAGACCACCUAAAAAGGACCAAAAAAAAAAAAAAAAAAAAAAAAGGGGGUCCAGCGAGGUUUGAACCACCGAACCCUGGUAUACCAGUCAGGUGUGUUAUCCAGUCGGCCACAGUGUGUUCGACAAGCACAGAGAGC